rnacentral:lncRNA from 1 species
CUGACGUGAGCGCGAACUCGCACUGCCCAGAGGGUGGCCGCCGCCUAAGCUGCAGCCGCCGGAGCCGCAGAAACAAGAGGCCGAGCCGUGUCGAAGAUGGAGAAACCCUCAGGGCCCAUCCCAGACAUGCUGGCCACUGCAGAGCCCAGCUCCAGUGAGACCGACAAGGAGGUGUUGUCCCCGGCUGUGCCAGCUGCAGCCCCUUCCUCCUCCAUGUCGGAGGAGCCAGGCCCUGAGCAGGCAGCCACACCGCCAGUGUGGGAACGUGGAGGGGCUGGAGGGAUGCAGCAGGGCUCCUCCCCAGCCCCAGACAGCUGCCAGCCUGGCCCCGGACCCAGCCCUGGCCUGACCAGCAUAGUCUCCGGGACCAGCGAGGACCUGCGGCCUCCCAGACGACGCCCACCUCCAGGGAAGCAAAUCCCUUGCUCCAGCCCUGGCUGCUGCCUCAGUUUUCCCAGCGUCCGUGACCUGGCACAGCAUCUGCGAACCCACUGCCCGCCCACACAGUCCCUGGAAGGCAAGCUCUUCCGCUGCUCAGCCCUGAGCUGCACCGAGACCUUCCCCAGCAUGCAGGAGCUGGUGGCUCACAGCAAACUGCACUACAAACCCAAUCGCUACUUCAAGUGUGAGAACUGCCUCCUGCGCUUCCGCACGCACCGCUCGCUCUUCAAGCACCUGCAUGUUUGCGCGGAGCAUGCGCAGAG